AGUUGCCAAAAUUGGGGUAAAUUCAGCACCUGACUUUUAAUCAGGGUGUCACAGGUUCGAGACCUGUACGGCCUA
rnacentral:tRNA from 1 species